rnacentral:rRNA from 1 species
AUUGAACGCUGGCGGCAGGCCUAACACAUGCAAGUCGAGCGGAUGAAGGGAGCUUGCUCCUGGAUUCAGCGGCGGACGGGUGAGUAAUGCCUAGGAAUCUGCCUGGUAGUGGGGGAUAACGUCCGGAAACGGGCGCUAAUACCGCAUACGUCCUGAGGGAGAAAGUGGGGGAUCUUCGGACCUCACGCUAUCAGAUGAGCCUAGGUCGGAUUAGCUAGUUGGUGGGGUAAAGGCCUACCAAGGCGACGAUCCGUAACUGGUCUGAGAGCAUGAUCAGUCACAUUGGAACUGAGACACGGUCCAGACUCCUACGGGAGGCAGCAGUGGGGAAUAUUGGACAAUGGGGGAAAGCCUGAUCCAGCCAUGCCGCGUGUGGGAAGAAGGUCUUCGGAUUGGAAAGCACUUUAAGUUGGGAGGAAGGGCAGUAAGUUAAUACCUUGCUGUUUUGACGUUACCAACAGAAUAAGCACCGGCUAACUUCGUG